GUACUAGUAGAGGUAGAGGUAGUGGUAGAGGUAGUGGUAGAGGUAGAGGUAGAGGUAGAGGUAGAGGUAGAGGUAGAGGUAGAGGUAGUGGUAGAGGUAGAGGUAGAGGUAGAGGCAGAGGUAGUGGUAGAGGUAGAGGUAGUGGUAGUGGUAGAGGUAGAGGUAGAGGCAGAGGUAGUGGUAGAGGUAGAGGCAGUGGUAGUGGUAGUGGUAGUGGUAGAAAUAGAAGUAGAGGUAGAGGUGGUGGUAGAGUUAGAGGUAGUGGUAGAGGUAGAGGUAGUGAUAGAGAUAGAGGUAGUGGUAGAGGUAGAGGUAGUGGUAGAGAUAGAGGUAGUGGUAGAGGUAGAAGUAGUGGUAUAGGUAGUGGUAUAGGUAGUGGUAGUGGUAGAGGUAGUGUUAGAGGUAGAAGUAAUGGUAGUGGAAGUGGUA
ensembl:lncRNA